rnacentral:rRNA from 1 species
AUUGAACGCUGGCGGCAGGCCUAACACAUGCAAGUCGAACGGUAACAGGAAGCAGCUUGCUGCUUUGCUGACGAGUGGCGGACGGGUGAGUAAUGUCUGGGAAACUGCCUGAUGGAGGGGGAUAACUACUGGAAACGGUAGCUAAUACCGCAUAACGUCGCAAGACCAAAGAGGGGGACCUUCGGGCCUCUUGCCAUCGGAUGUGCCCAGAUGGGAUUAGCUAGUAGGUGGGGUAACGGCUCACCUAGGCGACGAUCCCUAGCUGGUCUGAGAGGAUGACCAGCCACACUGGAACUGAGACACGGUCCAGACUCCUACGGGAGGCAGCAGUGGGGAAUAUUGCACAAUGGGCGCAAGCCUGAUGCAGCCAUGCCGCGUGUAUGAAGAAGGCCUUCGGGUUGUAAAGUACUUUCAGCAGGGAGGAAGGGAGUAAAGUUAAUACCUUUGCUCAUUGACGUUACCCGCAGAAGAAGCACCGGCUAACUCCGUG